rnacentral:rRNA from 1 species
GAUGAACGCUGGCGGCGUGCCUAAUACAUGCAAGUCGAGCGGAAAGGCGAGGCGCUUGCUUCGCUGACGUUAGCCGCGGGGGUGAGAGUAACACGUGGAUAACCUACCUAUAAUACUGAUAACACUUCGGGACACGGGAUCUAACACGGGAUAAUAUUUUGAACCGCGUGGUUGGAAGGUGAAAGACGGUGUUGCGGUAUCUUCUCGCUGGAUACCCGCUGCAUUAGCUGGUUGGUAAGGUAACGGCUUAUGAAGGGAAGGAUGCAUAGCCGACAUGAGAGGGUGAUCGGCCACACUGGAACGGAGACACGGUCCAGACUCCUACGGGAGGCAGCAGUAGGGAAUCCUCCGCAAUGGGCGAAAGCCUGACGGAGCAACGCCGCGUGAGUGAUGAAGGUCUUCGGAGCGUAAAACUCUGUUAUUAGGGAAGAACACAUGUGUAAGUAACUGUGCACAGCUUGACGGUACCUAAUCAGAAAGCCACGGCUAACUACGUG